GUCAGAUGCUGAGUUCUAAUAGAAUGUGAAUUCAGCAUGGACUGAGGCCAAGUUUUGCAAAUGAGUUUAGGAGUAGGAACAGUAUAUCCUGAAAUCUCACUUUCUCCUGCAUUUAGCAGUCUGUGUGAAACUGGGAUUCAAAGCUUCAAGCCCUUCUUGGACUUAGGGACAGAAAUGGCUCUUCUGGGUGCCAAGAAACUGCUGGCACUUUUCCUUCAAAGCAUGGUUAAAAGUAGCAGGUUCUGGUCUGUGCCGUGGCAGCCUGGUGAAGAGGGCAGAGCACAGGAGCAGUGCGCGUGGGGCACUGCAGAGCCUGCUUGGAAGGAGGAGACCCGAAUUGUGGCUGCUGCCUUCUUUGCCGAGGCACAACCCAGCUGGCCGGCGGAGGGCACACCCUCCCCCCUGCCACUGACCUGUGCCGCUGCGGAGGGAGGAGCACCAGCUUGUGCCAAUAAGCUGUGGUUUCAAAAUUCUCUGCUAGAGGCAAGAACGGAGCCCGGUGCGGCAGAAGCUGUUUUCCUCGGACUGGCGGAGCCUGUGUCCUUACUGUCCUGAAGAGGAACAAAUAACAACUAGACUUUUCCAGAGGAUGCAGCUAAGCGUCAGUCACUUGUGGCUUAUCAUAGAUCUUUAACAUAAAUCAGAGAAAUAAUGAAAAUUAAGGGAAAAGGUCAGUGAACUUUAUUUUACUUCUCCAACACUUACAAUCUUCUGUUAUUUAAAAUGAAUUGUAUUAUUUUCAUGCUACAAUAACUUCUUGUUUUGAGGUGACAAUAAAUAUCAGCUGGGAUGUUAUUUCGAUUCCA
rnacentral:lncRNA from 1 species